GACGAACGCUGGCGGCGCGCCUAACACAUGCAAGUCGAACGAGCGAGCGAGAGCUUGCUUUCUCGAGCGAGUGGCGAACGGGUGAGUAACGCGUGAGGCACCUUCCUCAAAGAGGGGGACAACAGUUGGAAACGACUGCUACUACCGCAUAAGCCCACGGUUCGGCAUCGACCAGAGGUAAAAGGAGCAAUCCGCUUUGAGUUGGCCUCGCUUCGGAUUAGCUAGUUGGUGAGGUAAUGGCCCACCAAGGCGACGAUCGGUAGCCGGACUGAGAGGUUGAACGGAGACAUUGGGAGGGGGAAGCGGCCCGGAAUACUACGGGAGGCGGGAGAGGGGAAUAUUGCAAAAUGGGGGAAACGAUGAAGGAGCGAGGCCGGGUGAAGGAGGAAGGUGUGCGGAUAGUAAACUACUGUUGUUGGGGAAGAUAAUGACGGUACCCAACAAGGAAGUGACGGCUAACUACGUG
rnacentral:rRNA from 1 species